AGAGUUUGAUCCUGGCUCAGAGCGAACGCUGGCGGCGUGGAUUAGGCAUGCAAGUCGAACGGGAUCCGGUGGAAUCAAUUCUUCGGAAGAGAGACUGCCGGUGAGAGUGGCGAACGGGUGAGUAACACGUGGGCAAGUUGCCCCAAAGUCUGGAAUAGCCCUCCGAAAGGAGGGGUAAUACCGGUUGUGGUCGUCCCUCGCAUGGGGGAUUUUCUAAAGGUGGGGAUCUUCGGACCUGCCGCUUUGGGAUGCGCCCGCGGCCCAUCAGCUUGUUGGUGAGGUAACGGCUCACCAAGGCUACAACGGGUAGCUGGUCUGAGAGGAUGGUCAGCCACACUGGGACUGAGACACUGCCCAGACUCCUACGGGAGGCUGCAGUCGAGAAUCAUUGUCAAUGCGCGAAAGCGUGAACAUGCGACGCCGCGUGGAGGAUGAAGGCCUUCGGGUUGUAAACUCCUGUCAUGAGGGAAAAACAGUCUGGUCGUGAAUAGCGGCCGGACCUGAUGGUACCUCAAGAGGAAGCCACGGCUAACUCUGUGCCAGCAGCCGCGGUAAUACAGAGGUGGCGAGCGUUGCUCGGAUUUACUGGGCGUAAAGGGUGCGUAGGCGGUUCUGUGUGUCGGGUGUGAAAUCUCACCGUCCAACGGUGAAACUGCAUUCGAAACUGCAGAACUCGAGUACAGGAGGGGAGAGCGGAAUUUUCGGUGUAGCGGUGAAAUGCGUGGAUAUCGAGAAGAACGCCGGUGGCGAAGGCGGCUCUCUGGACUGAUACUGACGCUGAGGCACGAAAGCUGGGGGAGCGAACAGGAUUAGAUACCCUGGUAGUCCCAGCCGUAAACGUUGUGCACUUGGUGUGGGCCGGAUUGCCCCGGUCUGUGCCGGAGCUAACGCGUUAAGUGCACCGCCUGGAGAGUACGGCCGCAAGGCUAAAACUCAAAGGAAUUGACGGGGGCCCGCACAAGCGGUGGAGCAUGUGGCUUAAUUCGAUGCAACGCGAAGAACCUUACCUGGGCUUGACAUGCAGGUGGUACGAAUCCGAAAAGAUGAGGACCCUUCGGGGAGCCUGCACAGGUGCUGCAUGGCUGUCGUCAGCUCGUGCCGUGAGGUGUUGGGUUAAGUCCCGCAACGAGCGCAACCCUUGUGGUUAGUUGCCCCUUCCGUCGAGAGGCGGGAAGCACUCUAGCCAGACUGCCCGUGACAAGCGGGAGGAAGGUGGGGAUGACGUCAAGUCAGUAUGGUCCUUACGCCCAGGGCUGCACACGUGCUACAAUGGUUGGUACAGAGCGAAGCAAGACCGCGAGGUGGAGCAAAUCGUCAAAACCAGCCCAAGUUCGGAUUGGAGUCUGCAACUCGACUCCAUGAAGCCGGAAUCGCUAGUAAAGGCGCAUCAGCUACGGCGCCUUGAAUACGUUCCCGGGCCUUGUACACACCGCCCGUCACAUCACGAAAGUCGAUUGCACCCGAAGUCGCCGGGCUAACCGCAAGGAAGCAGGCGCCGAAGGUGUGGUUGGUAAUUGGGAUGAAGUCGAAACAAGGUA
rnacentral:rRNA from 1 species